UACGUAAGGGGCAAGCGUUGUCCGGAAUCACUGGGCGUAAAGCGCACGUAGGCGGUUUAGCAAGUUAGGGGUGCAAGCUCCAGGCUUAACCUGGAAACUGCCUCUAAAACUACUUCACUUGAGUAUUAGAGGGGAAGCUGGAAUUCACGGUGUGGCGGUGAAAUGCGUAGAUAUCGUGGAGAACACCCGUGGCGAAGGCGGGCUUCUGGCUAAUAACUGACGCUGAGGUGCGAAAGCUAGGGGAGCGAACGGG
rnacentral:rRNA from 1 species